CAAUAAAUUAUACUAAAGUUGUUGCGGUUAAAAAGCUCGUAAUUGGAUUUCUGCUGAGAACGACCGGUCCGCCCUUUGGGUGUGUAUCUGGCUCUUUCUUGGCAUCUUCUUGGUGAACGUUGCUGCACUUGACUGUGUGGAGCGCUACCCAGGACUUUUACUUUGAGGAAAUUAGAAUGUUUCAAGCAGGCAUACGCCUUGAAUACAUCAGCAUGGAAUAAUAAGAUAGGACCUCGGUUCUAUUUUGUUGGUUUCUAGAGCUGAGGGAAUGAUUAAUAGGGAUAGUUGGGGGCAUUCGUAUUUAACUGUCAGAAGUGAAAUUCUUGGAUUUGUUAAAGACGGACUACUGCGAAAGCAUUUGCCAAGGAUGUUUUCAUUGA
rnacentral:rRNA from 1 species